rnacentral:rRNA from 1 species
GGGAAUAUUGGUAAUGGGCGCAAGCCUGAACCAGCAACGCCGCGUGUGCGAUGAAGGCCUUCGGGUUGUAAAGCACUUUUGACCGGGACGAGGAAGGACGGUACCGGUGGAAUAAGCCUCGGCUAACCACGUGCCAGCAGCCGCGGUACAACGUAGGAGGCGAGCGUUAUCCGGACUUACUGGGUGUAAAGCGUGUGCAGGGGGUUAGCUAAUUUGGGUGGGAAAGCUCCUGGCUCAACUGGG